CGGAAGGAUCAUUGUCGAAUCCCAAGCACAAAAAUGACUCGCGAAUAUGUUCAAUAACUUGCGUUGGGUGCCGGGGUAAAACCUGUCCCCUCUCGCUCCUUGCCCGAUCGAUCGUUGGUCGUGUUGGGUAACCAAAACAAAAAUCGGCGCGGGAAGCGCCAAGGGAUAUUACGAAAUGGGAUGCCUUUCUCGUGGAGGGGACCGUUUGCGGAAUCCUCACCAUGCUAUUCGAAAGGCCUCCACAAAUGAAACCUUAUACGACUCUCGGCAAUGGAUAUCUAGGCUCUUGCAUCGAUGAAGAACGUAGCAAAAUGCGAUACUUGGUGUGAAUUGCAGAAUCCCGUGAAUCAUCGAGUUUUUGAACGCAAGUUGCGCCCGAAGCCAUUAGGCCAAGGGCACGUCUGCCUGGGCGUCACGCAUUGCGUCGCCUCCCAUCAUCCUCGUCCCGAACGGGUCGUGGGUAAAUAUUGGGGGCGGAAUUUGGCUUCCCGUGCUCCAUCGCGGCCAGCCUAAAAUGUCGUUCCCUCGGCGCGCGCAUUGCGACAAGUGGUGGUCAAUUUGAUUGGGCGUAAGUUGUCGGAAGGUCGCGUCGAGUAGAGAGCGUUUGGACCUUGUGUUCAGGAGUCCCUCAUCGAGGGGAAAUUGUCCACGACCGGGACCCCAGGUCAGGC
rnacentral:sRNA from 1 species